GGCCUAACACAUGCAAGUCGGACGGUAGCACAGAGGAGCUUGCUCCUUGGGUGACGAGUGGCGGACGGGUGAGUAAUGUCUGGGAAACUGCCCGAUGGAGGGGGAUAACUACUGGAAACGGUAGCUAAUACCGCAUAACGUCGCAAGACCAAAGUGGGGGACCUUCGGGCCUCACACCAUCGGAUGUGCCCAGAUGGGAUUAGCUAGUAGGUGGGGUAAUGGCUCACCUAGGCGACGAUCCCUAGCUGGUCUGAGAGGAUGACCAGCCACACUGGAACUGAGACACGGUCCAGACUCCUACGGGAGGCAGCAGUGGGGAAUAUUGCACAAUGGGCGCAAGCCUGAUGCAGCCAUGCCGCGUGUAUGAAGAAGGCCUUCGGGUUGUAAAGUACUUUCAGCGGGGAGGAAGGCGGUGAGGUUAAUAACCUCACCGAUUGACGUUACCCGCAGAAGAAGCACCGGCUAACUCCGUGCCAGCAGCCGCGGUAAUACGGAGGGUGCAAGCGUUAAUCGGAAUUACUGGGCGUAAAGCGCACGCAGGCGGUCUGUCAAGUCGGAUGUGAAAUCCCCGGGCUUAACCUGGGAACUGCAUUCGAAACUGGCAGGCUAGAGUCUCGUAGAGGGGGGUAGAAUUCCAGGUGUAGCGGUGAAAUGCGUAGAGAUCUGGAGGAAUACCGGUGGCGAAGGCGGCCCCCUGGACGA
rnacentral:rRNA from 1 species